rnacentral:rRNA from 1 species
CCUACGGGCGGCAGCAGUGGGGAAUAUUGGACAAUGGGGGCAACCCUGAUCCAGCCAUGCCGCGUGUGUGAAGAAGGCCCUCGGGUUGUAAAGCACUUUCAGUGAGGAAGAACGCCUGGUGGUUAAUACCCAUCAGGAAAGACAUCACUCACAGAAGAAGCACCGGCUAACUCCGUGCCAGCAGCCGCGGUAAUACGGAGGGUGCGAGCGUUAAUCGGAAUUACUGGGCGUAAAGCGCGCGUAGGUGGCUUGAUAAGCCGGUUGUGAAAGCCCCGGGCUCAACCUGGAAACGGCAUCCGGAACUGUCAAGCUAGAGUGCAGGAGAGGAAGGUAGAAUUCCCGGUGUAGCGGUGAAAUGCGUAGAGAUCGGGAGGAAUACCAGUGGCGAAGGCGGCCUUCUGGACUGACACUGACACUGAGGUGCGAAAGCGUGGGUAGCAAACAGGAUUAGAUACCCCUGUAGUC